UUACGGUCAAAUCACGCUGAAAACACCGGUUCUCGUUCGAUCACCGAAGUUAAGCAUCGUAGAGCCAGGUCAGUACUUAGAUGGGGACCGCUUGAACACCUGGUACUGUAAG